GACUCUUCAGUUCACCUUCUCACAAUGAGGCUCCCUGCUCAGCUCCUGGGGUUGCUAAUGCUCUGGGUCUCUGGAUCCAGUGGGGAUAUUGUGAUGACUCAGUCUCCACUCUCCCUGCCCGUCACCCCUGGAGAGCCGGCCUCCAUCUCCUGCAGGUCUAGUCAGAGCCUCCUGCAUAGUAAUAGAUACAACUAUUUGAAUUGGUACCUGCAGAAGCCAGGCCAGUCUCCACAGCUCCUGAUCUAUUUGGGUUCUAAUCGGGCCUCCAGGGUCCCUGACAGGUUCAGUGGCAGUGGAUCAGGCACAGAUUUUACACUGAAAAUCAGCAGAGUGGAGGCUGAGGAUGUUGGGGUUUAUUACUGCAUGCAAACUCUACAAACUCCUCCCACAGUGGUACAACCCCUAACAGAAACCUCCCUCCUGGGGUUGCCCAGUUGCUCACAUGUGCUGCUUGUCUGGAGAGCAGCUCAGCAGGGUCUCUGAGUCUGCCGAAGAGGAGGCUGUUGGAGACCUCAGGGCAGAGGUUGCUGCUGAGGACUCUGGCUCAUGAUAGCCUCAGCUGUACUUUAGUCCCACAUGUUAAGGCCCCAUUAGGUGAAAAAUAAAUGAUUCCAAAAACUGAAAUGAAAUACCAAGGAGAAUCAGAGUACAAUUAAGGCUGUUACAAAGAAGCCUCAAAAUAUGGUGGACUAAAUGUGACAUGGUUUCUGUGUCUGUUGCCUGGCAGUGCAGAGGCAGGUGGGUGGCUUUGGUGGUGUCGGUGGCUCUUCUCCAUGAGGUCACUGAGAUGGGCAGGAGACACGACCACCCUCAGACACAGCCUUCCUCCUUCCUCAGAGUCACUUGCCCCGACACCCAUCCUCGGCAACAUGAAGUGGAACAAGUAGAGAGAAAGCUGUUUUCUUCUAAGACCAAAGAAAUCUAGAGUUUCCCAUCAGGGAUAAAUGUUCUUUUACUUUAAGCACACAUUGGAGAAAUUUUCCAUUGAGUGGAUCUGCUGAUAAACCCACUUUGUUUUGUUUGUUUGUUUUGUUGUGUUGUGUUUUGAGAUGGAGUCUCUCUCUGUCACCCAGGCUAGAGUGCAGUGACAUGAUCUCGGCUCACUGCAAACUGCCUCCUGGGUUCAAGAGAUUCUCAUGCCUCAGCCUUCCGAGCAGCUGGGAUUACAGGCACCCCCCACCAUUCCAGGCUAAUUUUUGUAUUUUUGGUAGAGACAGGGUUUCACCAUGUUGGCCAGGGUGGUGUCAAACUCCUGAUCUGAAGCGAUCUGCCUGCCUUAGCCUCCCAAAGUGCUGGGAUUACAGGCAUGAGCCACUGCACCUGGCAGUUGUUUGCUUUUAUACGAUAAUGUAAAAUUAUUUUGGAAAAUUAUUUUUUGAGUAUAUAGUUAUGUUUGUGGCAGCCUAUUUGAAUUUAUCAUUUGAUAAU